rnacentral:tRNA from 1 species
CAUUAAGAAGCUAAAUACUAAGCGUUAACCUUUUAAGUUAAAGAGUGGGAACACUGACCUCCCCUUAAUGA